UGGCUAGAUGAGGAAAAUUACUCAUG
rnacentral:piRNA from 2 species